GUAUGAAAUGAUGCUUAACCAUCUUUCGGGACUGACCUCUUAUGGAGAUAUUAUUUAAAUUGUGACUGAUCAUAC